rnacentral:rRNA from 1 species
UACGUAGGGUGCGAGCGUUAAUCGGAUUUACUGGGCGUAAAGGGCGCGUAGGCGGCGUGGUAAGUCACUUGUGAAAUCUCCGAGCUUAACUCGGAACUGCCAAGUGAUACUGCUGUGCUAGAGUGCAGAAGGGGCAACCGGAAUUCUUGGUGUAGCGGUGAAAUGCGUAGAUAUCAAGAGGAACACCUGAGGUGAAGACGGGUUGCUGGGCUGACACUGACGCUGAGGCGCGAAAGCUAGGGUAGCAAACGGG